UACGUAGGGUGCAAGCGUUGUCCGGAAUUAUUGGGCGUAAAGAGCUCGUAGGCGGUCUGUCGCGUCGGCUGUGAAAUCCCGAGGCUCAACCUCGGGUCUGCAGUCGAUACGGGCAAACUGGAGUGUUGCAGGGGAGACUGGAAUUCCUGGUGUAGCGGUGAAAUGCGCAGAUAUCAGGAGGAACACCGGUGGCGAAGGCGGGUCUCUGGGAAACAACUGACGCUGAGGAGCGAAAGCGUGGGGAGCGAACAGG
rnacentral:rRNA from 1 species